CCGCGAUCAUAGCUUUUGGGUCUGAUAAUUUUUUUACACCACAGGAUAUAUUCUACCGUUAUAAUUUCACACAUACAUCUCCAAUUUUAUUUUCCACAAGUCUACACCUGCACUUAUAUUUCUUACUGGUUCACAUUUACACAAAUACAACUCUUUUUUUAUCUUUUUUCCUCAUGCAGUUUCAUCAAAUACAACAUAAUUUUCACAAGCAUGCACUUGUGAACAACACGAAGCCAUCACAUUAUCAUAUUUUAUACUACACCUUUCGAGUAACAUUUGGGGAC